UUGAGAUUCAAACAUACAGAUGGAAAGUCGACUUUGGAAUAAAGAUUGUGGAUCAUAUGUUUUGUUUCCCGAUUUUAUGUAAUAGUAAAAUGACUCUUUUGUUUGGAAGAAAUCAUUUUACCUAUGCUUGCAGCGAUUCUUGUUACCACUUAAUUGAUGAGUUCAUGCUUUGCGAGAAAAGAUAAUUUUAUGUUUUGGAUCAAUUGGACAGAUUGCAUGCGACAAUGGAGCUGUUGAACUAGCAUGCUUGGACAGCGAGAGCUGGGAUACUCUAAGUGAUGAUUCCCAACUGGAAAGGAGGGUUAUGUUGGCAGAGCAUUCAAAUGGCAUCGAUUUGCAGCACCGAAUAAAAUGUUGGCUCUUAGAGAUUUGCAGACCCAUCAAUCUUCAGAUGCAAUAUCAAACGGCGAUACUCAUUAUGUUCCUCUCACAGAAGAAGACAUUGUUCAAAGGGUUCGGAAGCCUCAUUCGGGAUAUAUCCGAGGGAGGGGAAAAAUUCUGAAAGGAUCUUCUAGUUCUUGUGGUGCACAAAGUGAGAAUGACGAAGUAGUUGUGGAGUUGAAGAACAAACUUGCAUCAUAUGAGAACAAACUUGAUGCAUGUACAUAAUUUAUUCAACAAUUAACCUCUCAACUGAACAUGCAAUUUCCUGGCUACUUUGCUCAAUUUGAUCCAAGAACCACCUUUUCUCUACCUUUGCCACCACAAAUGACGACGACAAUGCUUAUUGUCCCGUGAUCUCGAGAGAUCCAUGUUAUUAGACUUACAGUUUAAACCUUUAAGUUCACGUAUAAAUUUAUAUUAUAAACUUCUACU